GACGGACGCUGGCGGCGUGCCUAAUACAUGCAAGUAGAACGCUGAGGUUUGGUGUUUACACUAGACUGAUGAGUUGCGAACGGGUGAGUAACGCGUAGGUAACCUGCCUCAUAGCGGGGGAUAACUAUUGGAAACGAUAGCUAAUACCGCAUAAGAGUAAUUAACACAUGUUAGUUAUUUAAAAGGAGCAAUUGCUUCACUGUGAGAUGGACCUGCGUUGUAUUAGCUAGUUGGUGAGGUAAAGGCUCACCAAGGCGACGAUACAUAGCCGACCUGAGAGGGUGAUCGGCCACACUGGGACUGAGACACGGCCCAGACUCCUACGGGAGGCAGCAGUAGGGAAUCUUCGGCAAUGGACGGAAGUCUGACCGAGCAACGCCGCGUGAGUGAAGAAGGUUUUCGGAUCGUAAAGCUCUGUUGUUAGAGAAGAACGUUGGUAGGAGUGGAAAAUCUACCGAGUGACGGUAACUAACCAGAAAGGGACGGCUAACUACGUGCCAGCAGCCGCGGUAAUACGUAGGUCCCGAGCGUUGUCCGGAUUUAUUGGGCGUAAAGCGAGCGCAGGCGGUUCUUUAAGUCUGAAGUUAAAGGCAGUGGCUUAACCAUUGUACGCUUUGGAAACUGGAGGACUUGAGUGCAGAAGGGGAGAGUGGAAUUCCAUGUGUAGCGGUGAAAUGCGUAGAUAUAUGGAGGAACACCGGUAGCGAAAGCGGCUCUCUGGUCUGUAACUGACGCUGAGGCUCGAAAGCGUGGGGAGCAAACAGG
rnacentral:rRNA from 1 species